CCGGGGAGAAGUACGGUGAGCCUGUCAUUAUUCAGAGAGGCUAGAUCCUCUGUGUUAAGAAGGAUCAUGAUGGGCUCCUCGGUGUUCUCCAGG
rfam:Equus caballus chromosome 24, whole genome shotgun sequence.